rnacentral:lncRNA from 1 species
AUAAUAACUGAAAAAGCCUCUUUCCACCCUUUCAGUAGCAUGGGCAUGUGGGACCCAGGAGUGCUUCUCCCCUCACCCCCAAAGAGUAGAAUGCACACAAGAGACUUUGAGCAAUUUCCCCCCCAAAUACGUUUUAAACCUGCUCUGGGAAUAGGGGAGGCUGGCUGAGCUUUUAAAUUCCUUGCCCAGGAACUCUAUAGCAACACUGUUUAUAAGCAAGAGGCGUGUAUGGUUGGGUUUUUUUCUCUCCCUCCCUGCACUGCACCUCUCCUUUGAAAUGAAAGAGACAGAAAACCAUCAAACUUGCUGUGCGCUGACCUGUGCAAUCUUAAGACUGACACAUGGCUAUUUUCUUAAAGGACAUUCUACAGCCUUCUCAAAGAGAGAGCUUCAUCCAGUUGACACAGAUGCCAACAGCCAUGGCCAUCUCCUUGAAGAACCCGCUGAAAGUCAUUAAACCUUGCUGGAAAACCUGUCACGUGGUCUGGACAUCAAAGUACGAUAAAAAACAAUUAAAAGCACCCUUCAAUAGGCUGUACAGGAGCUACUUUCUGAAAU